AUUGAACGCUGGCGGCAGGCCUAACACAUGCAAGUCGAACGCCCCGCAAGGGGAGUGGCAGACGGGUGAGUAGCGCGUGGGAAACCUUCCCAAAGGUGCGGAAUAGCUCAGGGAAACUUGGGGUAAUACCGCAUAAUGCCGAAAGGCCAAAGAUUUAUCGCCUUUGGAUGGGCCCGCGUCGGAUUAGCUAGUUGGUGAGGUAACGGCUCACCAAGGCGACGAUCCGUAGCUGGUUUGAGAGAAUGACCAGCCACACUGGGACUGAGACACGGCCCAGACUCCUACGGGAGGCAGCAGUGGGGAAUCUUGGACAAUGGGCGCAAGCCUGAUCCAGCCAUGCCGCGUGAGUGACGAAGGCCUUAGGGUUGUAAAGCUCUUUUGCCGGGGACGAUAAUGACGGUACCCGGAGAAUAAGUCCCGGCUAACUUCGUGCCAGCCGCCGCCGUAA
rnacentral:rRNA from 1 species